UACGUAGGGGGCUAGCGUUGUCCGGAAUCAUUGGGCGUAAAGAGCGUGUAGGCGGCCAGGUAGGUCCGGUGUGAAAACUCGAGGCUCAACCUCGAGAGGUCAUCGGAAACCAUCUGGCUAGAGUCCGGAAGAGGAGAGUGGAAUUCCCGGUGUAGCGGUGAAAUGCGCAGAUAUCGGGAAGAACACCUAUGGCGAAGGCAGCUCUCUGGGACGGUACUGACGCUGAGACGCGAAAGCGUGGGGAGCGAACGGG
rnacentral:rRNA from 1 species